CUUCUUCACUGAAUUCACCAGGCCUUGUGUUCAACUGUAAGCACUUCCCAGACAGAGUUUAGGAUGCAAAUGUAUACAUUCUUACAUCAUGGGAGUUCUCAUGUGGCAUGGGGUGAAGUCUCUUACUUCUGGCCACUUUCUGUUAGUACGUGAAAGUGGUGGCACAUACAAAAAGUGGAAGAUCAUGGGCUGUGAGAUGAAUUUAUCCAGGCAGAACUCUGCUCUCUACUCAGAAGAAAUAGAACUAAAAUGAUACUGGUUGUGGGCCGUGAUGAUACCAAAAUGAUACUGUGAGCCAUUCUCAGGGCAGCGUUAGCCUCAUAGCACGUACUUUUGACAUUUAGUCAGAUUACUGACUUCAGUGUGAUCAAGCUGCAUCCUUGAAAGGAGGCACAUAUUUUUCAAUUUUAUACAAAUUACAGAGCAACAAGGUGUGUUUCUUAUGAAGAAUAUCUUAGGGCCAAAGACAUAAAUACAUUAGUCUCCCUAGGCUUACUCUCAUUAAUAGCAGAAAGUGCAUAUUCAUGCUUUUGCUGUGAGGCAACGUACCCUGAUAUCUGCCUCUCUUCUCAUUUUCACCUUCCCCUCUAAAUUGCUCACAUUUUUCUCAUUUGUACAUUCCUGAUGAGUAAAGCAAAUUUAUUUCACCUGAGAGCAAGGAGGGAGGUGUCCAGUGAUAAGGCAAGAAUUUGAUGAGUAGCUGUGCAGUUUUUUCCUUUGAAAGCUCCUCACUCAACUUGUCCACCCUUUGGUGAUUAUUUCCUUUGGAAAUAGUUUUCUUAAAAACUACUCGGAUCUUAAGAACUUCACAUGCAGAGGACUGCUUUUGGGGUCCAGGAGUUUGAAACAGAAUAAGAUACUACAUUAGCCAGUGACCUGAAAUAAAAGCAAAUGGAACUCAGAAGAGCUUGCAGGGGUCAGUCAGUCCACGAUCUCCCUUACAGCCAGCUCCGUUUUACCCAGGCCAUUACUAGAAAAUGUCAGUUUGCCUUGUUCUUAAGAACAUCUCCUUAAAAACAUCCUCAAUCCUGCUACCUCAAGAAGCCAACUGUUCUGUUGCAGACAAAAAGGUGGUUUUGAUCUGUACCCAAAUAUUGAUUUUUGAAGGUUGAUAGCAUGGAGAAUACAAGAGCUCUUCAUGUUUCAAGUAUAUUCUCCAACUUUGGAAGCAAAAUAAAGAGAGUCACCCAGUGAUCCUGAACUCAAAUUACUUGCAAGUAAGAUUUUUUGCUGGAAGUUAAGGGACUGCUCCUGCACUUCUCAAAGACAUAGCAAAGAUUCCCUGGAAGAAGAGUUUAUAAAACAAGAAAGCCAUAGAGAAGAUGAUGAGAGAGAAAGGGCAGAAGUGGAGCAGAAGAAGGAGAAAACUCACCAGUGAGAUUGCACAGAUGUUCAGCAGGGAAGAGAGCAUUGCCUGGUGGAAGGAAGCAGCUAUUAAAUGGAAAAUAAAUAACUGUCAAGCCCUGUUGUUGUGGAAGAAAGAAGAGGGCAUAGGGAGAGGACUGCAUUUGGAUUGUCUGUUUUGCAUCCAGUAUGCAGCUGUGAUAGAACAAGAGUCAUGGGUUAAAGCAGAGGACUUGUUCAGUUCAUCUUGGUUCAUGCUCAAACUCUCACUAGAGAAGAGUGGUGAGUCAUAUACAGUGGUCCACGCAUGGGAUGCUAACUUCAGGAGACAGUUGCCCAGCCAUGGAAGGUACCUAGGGCACUGUGCCUCUUCCCUAAGGAAUCAGACUAGUUGCUGCAUUUAUUGCUUCUGGGCCUGCCAUGGAGAUUUCCUGUCUUCCAAAUUUCCUUUUGCUUAACUGUUUCCUUGUUUUUAACUCACAUUUCUGUCUGCGAGGGGAAUAUAAUGUCCACUUUUUGGAAUGGAAAACUUCAGGAAUUCUUUAGAAUAUAUACAGACAUAUAUUAACCAUCCCUGUACACACAGACAUAUAUGCAAGUAUUGGCGAUCAGUCCCAUAACCACUCCUGUCAAUUCAUUCCAGAAGUUAAGUACUGUCUUUAUGGAACUGCCUGGGAAAUAUAAACAAAUAAAGAGAAUCUCAAUGGCCCUCCAGAUGCCUUCUCAAGGAAUUGUAGCAGUGGGGAGAAACUCUUUACACAGCUGACAAAAUAAAUGAUCCAGGGGUGAGAGAUACACGCUGAGUUCUUACUUACAUCUGGGAGAGUAAUGUGUGCUGUGAGGCCCACACACUGCAUCCCAGUGUCUAUUCUGAGGGUAAAGACUUACAUGGUGUUGGGAUAGCCCUUUGUUUUCUCUCAGGCUGGAGAGAGUAUCUUGGGAAAAGAGAGAACUAAGUCAGGGCAAACCUCCCCUCAGCUUCUUCCAAACUCUUUACAAAACAAGUGGGAAAAUUUUGAAUCACAUUAAGGUAAAAAAUAUUUAGUUGUACAUGGAAAAAAAUGAUUUCUUGUGACCCAUGGAUUUUUUUCCAAUACAGGAGGGAAAAGACUUGAUAACAGCUCUCAGGAGGUUUGAGCAUCUCUGUGGUAAUGUCCCUGAAAAUGUGUAAUGUCAACCAGGAGUGAAAAUCUCUGCAGGGAGGAAGGAAAACACAGUGUCUUUGGUUCACAUCACUCCAUGGAGAGGAGGCUCUUGAUGCACAACGAAGCCCUUAUAUAUGUCAGUGACCGAAGGAAAGCUGAAGACUAAAGGGGGUGGAGGAAAAGUGCAUUAAAAUAAUAAAAAAUGUGUUAUGAAAUUUCAGUCAAAUGUAUGUAAAUCUUUAUUAAUUAAAGGACUUCUCAACAUGAUAAUGUGGCCAUGUAUUUCUUGGCAUUUUCACAAAUGAGGAAGCGCAGCUUCCUGCACUGGCAAUUGAUCUGCUUCCCAG
ensembl:lncRNA